ACCAUGGAAGUUGGGGGCGACCCGAAGCCAGUGGCCUAACCGCAAGGAGGGAGCUGUCGAAGGUGAAAUCAAUGACUGGGGUGAAGUCGUAACAAGGUAAC
rnacentral:rRNA from 1 species